rnacentral:rRNA from 1 species
AUUGAACGCUGGCGGCAUGCUUUACACAUGCAAGUCGAACGGUAACAGGUUAAGCUGACGAGUGGCGAACGGGUGAGUAAUGCAUCGGAACGUGCCCGAUCGUGGGGGAUAACGCAGCGAAAGCUGCGCUAAUACCGCAUACGAACUGAGGAUGAAAGCGGGGGACCGUAAGGCCUCGCGCGAUCGGAGCGGCCGAUGUCAGAUUAGGUAGUUGGUGGGGUACAGGCUCACCAAGCCGUCGAUCUGCAGAUGGUCUGAGAGGACGACCAGCCACACUCGGACUGAGUCACGGCCCAGACUCCUACGGGAGGCAGCAGUGGGUAAUUGUGGACAAUGGGCGAAAGCUUGAUCCAGCAAUGCCGCGUGCAGGAAGAAGGCGUUCGGGUUGUAAACUGCUUUUGUACGGAGCGAAAAGGCUCUCUCUAAUACAGGGGGCUCAUGACGGUACCGUAAGAAUAAGCACCGGCUAACUACGUGCCAGCCGCCGCUGUAA